rnacentral:rRNA from 1 species
UACGUAGGGUGCAAGCGUUAAUCGGAAUUAUUGGGCGUAAAGAGCUCGUAGGCGGUCUGUCGCGUCGGCUGUGAAAACCUGGGGCUCAACUCCGGGCCUGCAGCCGAUACGGGCAGACUAGAAUUCGGUAGGGGAGACUGGAAUUCCUGGUGUAGCGGUGAAAUGCGCAGAUAUCAGGAGGAACACCGGUGGCGAAGGCGGGUCUCUGGGCCGAUAUUGACGCUGAGGAGCGAAAGCGUGGGGAGCGAACAGG